CAAUCUAAUGGAGGUAAUUCCUUAGAGGAGGUUCUCCCUUUCCAGGUUCAUCUUGGCACGCAAGCUGGGAUCUCCUUCGGCUGAGAGUUUCUGGUGCUUUUGAAAUGACCUGAUGGUUGAAGUGAAACCGGAAAUCAACUGUAGAUAUCUUCACUUUAGUCUGACAGCUCCUGAUGGACCUCAGAGCCUAUUCAAGGGUUUCUCUGUUCUGUUUUGGAACCUACCCUGGAACACCCUCUGUAGCCAGGCUGGCCUUGAACUCACAGAGAUCCUGUAGACUGGGAAUAUCUUCACAGACGUCAUGGUGAGGACGCAGCAAUUGGCAGCCUCUUGUAGGCAGAGGUUACUCUUGGACACGGGUCGGUGCCUUGGACUCUGCAGCCUCUGCAGCUGUAUUGUUACACAUCUGUCCACUCCACAUGAAGAAAGAAGAGGUGACAGGGAAGGAGGAGAGAGGGAGGAAAAGAUGUAGGAUGGGGGAGGAUGGAUACAAUCAAAGCACAGUAUAUUCUGGUAUACAAAUGUGGAUGUGAGAACCACUGAAAAUUCAUAAUUAAUAUGCUUUAAUAUUUUAAGGGGCUGGGAAAGUAGCUGA